rnacentral:rRNA from 1 species
AUUGAACGCUGGCGGCAUGCCUUACACAUGCAAGUCGAACGGCAGCACGGGAGCUUGCUCCUGGUGGCGAGUGGCGAACGGGUGAGUAAUGCAUCGGAACGUGCCCUGAAGUGGGGGAUAACGUAGCGAAAGUUACGCUAAUACCGCAUAUUCUGUGAGCAGGAAAGCAGGGGAUCUUCGGACCUUGCGCUUUUUGGAGCGGCCGAUGUCGGAUUAGCUAGUUGGUGGGGUAAAGGCCCACCAAGGCGACGAUCCGUAGCGGGUCUGAGAGGAUGAUCCGCCACACUGGAACUGAGACACGGUCCAGACUCCUACGGGAGGCAGCAGUGGGGAAUUUUGGACAAUGGGCGCAAGCCUGAUCCAGCCAUGCCGCGUGAGUGAAGAAGGCCU